rnacentral:rRNA from 1 species
AUUGAACGCUGGCGGCAGGCCUAACACAUGCAAGUCGAACGGUAGCACAGAGGAGCUUGCUCCUUGGGCGACGAGUGGCGGACGGGUGAGUAAUGUCUGGGAAACUGCCCGAUGGAGGGGGAUAACUACUGGAAACGGUAGCUAAUACCGCAUAACGUCGCAGGACCAAAGAGGGGGACCUUCGGGCCUCUUGCCAUCGGAUGUGCCCAGAUGGGAUUAGCUAGUAGGUGGGGUAACGGCUCACCUAGGCGACGAUCCCUAGCUGGUCUGAGAGGAUGACCAGCCACACUGGAACUGAGACACGGUCCAGACUCCUACGGGAGGCAGCAGUGGGGAAUAUUGCACAAUGGGCGCAAGCCUGAUGCAGCCAUGCCGCGUGUAUGAAGAAGGCCUUCGGGUUGUAAAGUACUUUCAGCGAGGAGGAAGGUGUUGUGGUUAAUAACCGCAGCAAUUGACGUUACUCGCAGAAGAAGCACCGGCUAACUCCGUGCCAGCCGCCGCCGUAA